AUGCUGGUGCUGAAUUAUCAGCAAUGCCUCCUACACCACCAACUGCUUGGCCCUCUGGCCAAGGUCAUCCAUGACAACUUUGGCAUCGUGGAGGGACUCAUGACCACAGUCCAUGCCAUCACUGCCACCCAGAAGAAGUAGUCCCUCUGGGAAGCUGUGGCGUGAUGGCCAAGGGGCUGCCCAGAACAUCAUCCCUGCUUCUACUGGUACCACCAAGGCUGUAGGCAAGUUCACCCCAAGCUGAAUGGGAAGCUCACCGGCAUGACCUUCUGUGUCCCUGCCCCCAAAGUGUCAGUUAUGGAUCUGACCUGCUCCCUGCAGAGAGUUGCCAAAUAUGAUGACAUCAAGAAGGUAGGGAAGCAGGCAUCCUGGGCCACACUGAGGACUAGGUUGUUUCCUGCAACUAACAAUGACACCCACUCUUCCACCUUUGAUGCUGGGGCUGGCAUUGCUCUCAAUGACCACUUUGUCAAGCUCACUUCCUGGUAUGACGAUGAAUUUGGCUACAGCAACUCGGCAGCAGACUUUACGGUCUACGUGGCCUCCAAGGAGUAA